rnacentral:lncRNA from 1 species
CGCGAUUCCUGUGCGCUCGGAUGAGCUCUUGGACUAAGGGAGCUCUUCGCAAGAGCAGGUGACUAAGCAAGGCCGGCGAGCGUCCGGUGCAUAUCCCCAGGGUAUCACGCACCCAAAAUUUUAUGGCUUCUUUUUGUCAGUUUUGAGAUAUCGCAAGUGUCCAGAAGAAGGGAUUCACGAGCUCCACAAGCUUUCUCUUUCUGUGUCCUGAUGCCUAUACGUGUUGACAAUUCACAGUUUGUAGGUGUUCGUGACUGGACAUCAGUUGAGUCAGAUUAAAUCCGGUCUAUAGCGACAAAAGUAGCUACUCCAGUGUAAGCGCACGGUUGCAGCCCAGGAACAAAUCGCCAGCUGAUUGGACAGUGCAUGUCCGAUUUCCUAUGCAAUUUUAAAUGGGAGCGCAUAUUUCACCGCAGGUCUCAUCAAGUGGUGCAUCAAAUUCAUGCUUGGCUACAAGCUGCGGGAUAGCUAUAGCCGCGCGUGGACACGCGCCACAAUGCAGUAUCGUGCAGUUGCCUGUCGUCUUCUGUGCCACUGCUCAUCCAGUUGGAACGAAGGUCAGGUGUCAGCAAGUGACGCAUCGCAUAUUGCGGUGAUUGAGGUGUCCCACCGUCGAGAGCCCAGAUCUUUGUGUUGAGGCAAGUGGUAGUCUUUUUACGCGGGGCAAGGUUUGUUUGUGCCAGAAUUGCGUGAGAUCUGUGCCGAAAAGGGGACCAUGGAUGUCGCACCGGAUGCGGUGGAAAAUGCGCUUCCUAGACAACACGAUGAAAAACCUCGGGGUGCAACGUGGGGAAUCAAAAGCUCUGAAUAUAUCAGCAGCUGGGCGAUUGUGCUUGAGGAGUAGAUGAUGCUUUGGUGAAGAUUGAUGCUUUCUUAAUUGGAGGUGCAUGACUGUCGUUGCCAACUGUGACGAACCGAAGCCAGU